rnacentral:rRNA from 1 species
UACGGAGGGUCCAAGCGUUAUCCGGAAUCAUUGGGUUUAAAGGGUCCGUAGGCGGUUUUGUAAGUCAGGGGUGAAAGCCCAUCGCUCAACGGUGGAACGGCCAUUGAUACUGCAAGACUUGAAUUAUUAGGAAGUAACUAGAAUAUGUAGUGUAGCGGUGAAAUGCUUAGAGAUUACAUGGAAUACCAAUUGCGAAGGCAGGUUACUACUAAUGGAUUGACGCUGAUGGACGAAAGCGUGGGUAGCGAACAGG